CCUUUCCCAAUUAGUCACCAAAGCAUGUCCUUUCCACGUCACAUAGUCUCUCGCUUUCUGAAAAGGACUCUUUGCUCAUGUCUCUUAGUUUGAGCUGGAAUAAUUGCAAGACCCACAAGUUACCCAUGUUCUACUUACAUAGGAGAGAAGGAGGAGGGUUCAAAGGGAGGAUGAAGGGAACGUAUAUGGCCAACAUACAUGAUAUACUUGACUAAAACUGUGUUACUAUGGAAUUGAAAUCUCUGUAUAAUAAAUACAUACUGAUAUAUUAUAGGUUUGUAGAAAGUAGCUCUCAGUGGUGUCAUUGAAGCCCCACUACACCCUUAAGCGCAGUCCUUCAUUCUUGGCGUUAGCAGAGUUUCCUCAUUUCUACCUUCAACUACAAGCCCGAACAGCCAAAGCUAUUCAUUUUCAUCUCGUCACCUCCAAGUCCUUAAAUGUAUACACUUUUAAACGUGUACAAGCUAAUCUAAAGUAAAAC
rnacentral:lncRNA from 1 species